rfam:Crassostrea gigas strain 05x7-T-G4-1.051#20 contig21206, whole genome shotgun sequence.
CCAAUGGCCCUUUUAAGGGCCACCCACAUCUAUAGAAAAGGUGUCU